rnacentral:rRNA from 1 species
AUAUCAAUAAGCGGAGGAAAAGAAACCAACAGGGAUUGCCCCAGUAACGGCGAGUGAAGCGGCAAUAGCUCAAAUUUGAAAUCUGGCCCUUUCAGGGUCCGAGUUGUAAUUUGCAGAGGGCGCUUUGGCGUCGGCAGCAGCCUAAGUUCCUUGGAACAGGUCAUCAUAGAGGGUGAGAAUCCCGUAUGUGGCUGCUUGCCUUCGCCGUGUAAAGCCCCUUCGACGAGUCGAGUUGUUUGGGAAUGCAGCUCUAAAUGGGAGGUAAAUUUCUUCUAAAGCUAAAUAUUGGCCAGAGACCGAUAGCGCACAAGUAGAGUGAUCGAAAGAUGAAAAGCACUUUGGAAAGAGAGUCAAAAAGCACGUGAAAUUGUUGAAAGGGAAGCGCUUGCAGCCAGACGUGCCCGCAGUUGCUCAUCCGGGGUUCUCCCCGGUGCACUCUUCUGCGGGCAGGCCAGCAUCAGUCCGGGCGGUCGGAGAAAGACCUGUGUCAUGUAGCUCUCUUCGGGGAGUGUUAUAGGGCAGGUGGAAUGCGACCAGCCUGGACUGAGGUCCGCGCAUCUGCUAGGAUGCUGGCGUAAUGGCUGUAAGCGGCCCGUCUUGAAACACGGACCAAGGAGUCUAACAUCUAUGCGAGUGUUUGGGUGUCAAGCCCGAGCGCGUAAUGAAAGUGAACGGAGGUGGGAACCCCUCGGGGUGCACCAUCGACCGAUCCUGAUGUCUUCGGAUGGAUUUGAGUAAGAGCAUAGCUGUUGGGACCCGAAAGAUGGUGAACUAUGCCUGAAUAGGGUGAAGCCAGAGGAAACUCUGGUGGAGGCUCGCAGCGGUUCUGACGUGCAAAUCGAUCGUCAAAUUUGGGCAUAGGGGCGAAAGACUAAUCGAACUAUCUAGUAGCUGGUUCCUGCCGAAGUUUCCCUCAGGAUAGCAGUAACGUUUUCAGUUUUAUGAGGUAAAGCGAAUGAUUAGAGGCCUGGGGGUUGAAACAACCUUCACC